UACGGGGGGGGCAAGCGUUGUCCGGAAUCAUUGGGCGUAAAGAGCUCGUAGGUGGUCUGUUACGUCUGCUGUGAAAUCCUAGGGCUUAACCCUGGGCCUGCAGUGGAUACGGGCAGACUAGAGGUAGGUAGGGGAGAAUGGAAUUCCCGGUGUAGCGGUGAAAUGCGCAGAUAUCGGGAGGAACACCGGUGGCGAAGGCGGUUCUCUGGGCCUUACCUGACACUGAGGAGCGAAAGCGUGGGGAGCGAACAGG
rnacentral:rRNA from 1 species